rnacentral:rRNA from 1 species
GUGCCAGCCGCCGCGGUAAUACAGAGGGUGCGAGCGUUAAUCGGAAUUACUGGGCGUAAAGCGCACGUAGGCGGCUUCGUAAGUCGGAUGUGAAAUCCCCGGGCUCAACCUGGGAACUGCAUUCGAGACUGCGGAGCUCGAGUAUGGAAGAGGAAGGCGGAAUUCCAGGUGUAGCGGUGAAAUGCGUAGAUAUCUGGAGGAACAUCAGUGGCGAAGGCGGCCUUCUGGUCCAAUACUGACGCUCAGGUGCGAAAGCGUGGGGAGCAAACAGGAUUAGAAACCCUAGUAGUCC